rnacentral:rRNA from 1 species
UGACCUCAAAUCAGUAGAUACCCA